UACGUAGGUGGCGAGCGUUGUCCGGAUUUAUUGGGUUUAAAGGGUGCGUAGGCGGCUUUGUAAGUCAGUGGUGAAAUACUCCAGCUUAACUGGAGGGGUGCCAUUGAUACUGCGGAGCUUGAGUACAGAUGAAGUAGGCGGAAUUGACGGUGUAGCGGUGAAAUGCAUAGAUAUCGUCAAGAACACCGAUAGCGAAGGCAGCUUACUGGGCUGUAACUGACGCUGAUGCACGAAAGUGUGGGGAUCAAAUAGG
rnacentral:rRNA from 1 species